GCUCAUCACUAAUACUAUAUCGACGCUGAUGGAAGAAAGUGUAGGUAGCGAACAUGAUCAGAUCCCGUGGUAGUCUACGUCGUAAACGAUGGUUACUAGCUGUCCGCGCUUAAUCGAGGUGCUGGGUGAUUAAGCGAAAGUGAUAAGUAACCCACGUGGGGAGUACGUUCGCAAGAAUGAAACUCAAAGGAAUUGACGGGGGCCCGCACAAGCGGUGGAGCAUGUGGUUUAAUUAGAUGAUACGCGAGGAACCUUACCAGGGCUUAAAUGCAGUCUGACGUAUCUGGAAACAGAUAUUUCUUCGGACAGAUUGCAAGGUGCUGCAUGGUUGUCGUCAGCUCGUGCCGUGAGGUGUCAGGUUAAGUCCUAUAACGAGCGCAACCCCUGUGGUUAGUUGCCAGCGAGUAAUGUCGGGAACUCUAGCCAGACUGCCGGUGCAAACCGUGAGGAAGGUGGGGAUGACGUCAAAUCAUCACGGCCCUUACGUCCUGGGCCACACACGUGCUACAAUGGUAGGGACAGAGAGCAGCCACUUCGCGAGAAGGAGCGAAUCUAUAAACCCUAUCACAGUUCGGAUCGUAGUCUGCAACUCGACUACGUGAAGCUGGAAUCGCUAGUAAUCGCAUAUCAGCCAUGAUGCGGUGAAUACGUUCCCGGGCCUUGUACACACCGCCCGUCAAGCCAUGGAUAGUCCUGGGGGUA
rnacentral:rRNA from 1 species